rnacentral:rRNA from 1 species
CCAAUACAUUAGCAUGGAAUAAUAGAAUAGGACGGCAUGGUUCUAUUUUGUUGGUUUCUAGGAUCACCGUAAUGAUUAAUAGGGAUAGUUGGGGGCAUUAGUAUUCAAUUGUCAGAGGUGAAAUUCUUGGAUUUAUUGAAGACUAACUACUGCGAAAGCAUUUGCCAAGGAUGUUUUCAUUAAUCAAGAACGAAAGUUAGGGGAUCGAAGACGAUCAGAUACCGUCGUAGUCUUAACCAUAAACUAUGCCGACUAGGAAUCAGACGAUGUUAAUUUUUUAAUGACUCGUUUGGCACCUUACG